CCGCGGGUGAUUACUCACCUGCGGCUGUGAGCCGACGGACAGAAAUCGCAUAUAAGGCUCAGUCCCCGGGCGAGUCAGCACAAGGUGACAAAGCCCAUCAGGUGCAGGGGAUAGGGUAAAUGCGGCGGUUGUGCACUGAAAGUUC
rnacentral:misc_RNA from 1 species